AUUUUUGCCUGUAAAGUGAGGCUCCUAUACAAACAUAGGCCACUGCCCAAAAAUGUCCAAAGACGCCAAUGGGUAGAACAGGGAUUGUCGGAUUAAGGCUUUCCAUAAUGUGGCUAAGAAAAUGAUUUUUCUUUACGUUGUAUAGUGCCAAAACUUUUGCGAGGGGAAACGCG
rnacentral:sRNA from 2 species